GGCCUACCAUGCAAGUCGAGCGGUAACAGGGGUAGCUUGGUACCCGCUGACGAGGGGGGGAAGGGGGGGUAAUACUUGGGAACUUGGCUUUAGGAGGGGGACCCCCCCGGGAAACUGGGGGUAAUACCGCAUACGUCCUACGGGAGAAAGGAGGGGAUCUUCGGACCUCACACCUAAAGAUGGGCCCAAGUGAGAUUAGCUAGUUGGGGGGGUAAAGGGUCACCAAGGGGACGAUCUCUAGCUGUUCUGAGAGGAUGAUCAGCCCCCCUGGGACUGAGACACGGCCCAAACUCCUACGGGAGGCAGCAGUGGGGAAUAUUGCACAAUGGGGGAAACCCUGAUGCAGCCAUGCCGCGGGGGUGAAGAAGGCCUUCGGGUUGUAAAGCACUUUCAGUGGGGAGGAAGGGGUUGUCGUUAAUAGCGGCAACGAUUGACGUUAGCCACAGAAGAAGCACCGGCUAACUCCGUGCCAGCAGCCGCGGUAAUACGGAGGGGGCAAGCGUUAAUCGGAAUUACUGGGCGUAAAGCGUACGUAGGCGGCCUGUUAAGCAAGAUGUGAAAGCCCCGGGCUCAACCUGGGAAUGGCAUUUUGAACUGGCAGGCUCGAGUUUUGAAGAGGGUGGUAGAAUUUCCUGUGUAGCGGUGAAAUGCGUAGAUAUAGGAAGGAAUACCAGUGGCGAAGGCGGGCACCUGGUCAAAAACUGACGCUGAGGUACGAAAGCGUGGGGAGCAAACAGGAUUAGAUACCCUGGUAGUCCACGCCGUAAACGAUGUCAACUAGUUGUUCGUCUUAUAAACAAGGUGAGUAACGCAGCUAACGCACUAAGUUGACCGCCUGGGGGAGUACGGCCGCAAGGUUUAAACUCAAAUGAAUUGACGGGGGCCCCGCACAAGCGGUGGAGCAUGUGGUUUAAUUCGAUGCCACGCGAAGAACCUUACCAUCCCUUGACAUCCAGAGGAAGGUCCUAGAGAUUAAGACUGUGCCUUCGGGAACUCCUGAAACAGGGCUGCAUGGCUGUCGUCAGCUCCUGUUGUGAGAAUGUUGGGUAAGUUCCCGCACCAGCGCAACCCUAUCCUCAGUUGCCAGCCGUAUGGUGGACCUCUGUGGAAACCUGCCCGGUGAUAACCGGAGAGGUUGGACCCACCUCAGUCUAUCAUGCCUUACCGGAUGGCUACCACUGUCUUCACAUGGCCCUAUACAAUGGAAUCAGGCU
rnacentral:rRNA from 1 species